rnacentral:misc_RNA from 1 species
AAGUACUCGAGGAAAAGAAAGUUUUGGGUUCAUCUAUUAUCUUUUUGAACUGGAAGAUUUUUCCUCUAUUUCAUCAUAUUAAACAUUUCUCUUGUUUCAGGCUGAAUUUAAUAAAGUAAAAAAUUUACAAGAAUACACGGCAUCUAGCAGAUCAAACUAAGACGCUUAAAACUGAUAACAACACUGUAAACAUCUACUAAAUCAUUAGAAUCUGAGUAGAGAACAUCAAGAGUUUUUAUCGUGCGAGGUGGUUGUAAGAUACAGGAAGGGUGGAGAGAUCAAGAAGAGAGGUGGAGUGCUCCGACAGAGUUGUGGAGAACUCCGAGACCUGUUGCUACUGCCAUACGGCCACCGGGAUGACGGAGUACAAACUCGUCGUUGUCGGAGCUGGAGGUGUGGGGAAAUCAGCACUAACCAUUCAGCUGAUUCAGAACCAUUUCGUUCCUGAAUACGAUCCAACUAUAGAGGACAGCUACAGAAAACAAGUUGUUAUAGACGGAGAGACAUGCUUGCUCGAUAUCCUGGAUACAGCAGGACAAGAGGAGUACAGUGCAAUGCGGGACCAAUAUAUGCGUACAGGAGAAGGAUUUCUUAUUGUGUUUGCUGUUAACAAUGCUACGUCGUUUGAAGAGAUAAAUGCGUACAGGGAGCAGAUUAAGAGAGUAAAGGAUGCUGAAGAGGUUCCAAUGGUUCUAGUUGGGAACAAGUGUGAUCUUCCAACCAGGAGCCUUGACAUGCAGCAGGCUAGGGAUGUUGCAAGAAACUAUGGAGUUCCUCUGGUAGAAACCUCUGCUAAGACGAGGAUGGGUGUAGACGAUGCAUUCUACAGUCUGGUUCGUGAGAUCAGGAAGGAUAAAGAGAGAUCCGUGAAGAGCAAGAAGCCUCCUCGUCCUGAGUGCUGUUCAAAGUGUAUAAUUCUCUAAUCUUAGUGGAUUAAACCUCACCCAAGGAGUACUAAACUUUUAAACCUGACGAUAAACCUGCUGAAACGGAUUACUAAACCUAAUCACCGGAAGUACUAAACCUUUGGCCCUUAUCUUAUCUUCUCAAAUAAGAAUUAAUCCUUCCAAUUUGGACUCAUGAACUUGACCUAACUAUAAUCUAAAAUCUACUCUGGCCUUGAUAGUACAUAGGCUUUCUAACCUAGAGUACUAAACCUACGAAACCAACUUUGCAAGGAACCCAAACCCUCUGUUCUAGGCAUGCUAAACUUCAUUAUAAAAAUGCGCUAAAUCCCGCAAUUUGUUACUAUUCAAAGAGACUGUUAACACAAUUUCUAAAAGUGGCUAGUUUUACGAGUUUUACGUUGAUGAAUCGUUUACUUUGUUGUUAUUGUUUCAACUACUGGAGAAAUAUUGCCUUUUUUCAAAAUAUUGAAAGAAAAUAAUGGUUCUAACAUUAAAAUUUGACUGAAUCACUAUUUUAAAACAUAUUUAGAUACUGUUUAUUCUUACCGGGUCGUUAAAAUGUAUUGUUAGAUUAGUUAUAAAUGAUCACGGUUGUUUUUAAGCUGACCAUCAUUUUCUUUAAUUUAAAAACGGUGUUCACUUUGACGGUAGUACAGGAGUUUUAACUGUUAACGUCAUUAGAAUUUAAAAAAAACCUUUUUAGCGCACACCUGACUCAAGGAUAGAUUUAUUCUUCCUUGAAAUUACUAUUAAUAGUAAAAAUUGAACAACGUCAACAAUUGUUUUUGUUUAAUUAAUAAUUAACACGCACGUACAUUGUACACUAUACUGUACAGUGUACAUAUCCGAGAAUAGUUAACGAUACUAAAACCAAUUUAACUGGUGUACUGGGUUUCAAAUCUAAAUCAUUUCUCUUGUAGCUUAUUCUGGUCUGAAAUUUAAUUUUUUUGCAGAACUAUCCUAUCCUUUGUUUAACCAAUUAAAAAUCAAAAUAUUUAUUUUACUUACUCUGGCUUCCAAGUGACACGCUGUUCUCUCUUUCUAUAUUUUUUUGGAUUUACAAUUGUAAGAUUAUUUUGAAAAUGUGUGCACAAAAACAACCUCUUAGUUCUUUGUAACCAUAUUAUUCAACAUAACGUAUGACAAAUUUUUCAACUUUAUUUUUCUAAUUUAACCUUUUUUAUACAAUUUACAGAAUAUAUUUACGCGAAUUCCAAUCGUAACUAUCUCCCAAUAAUCUUUUUACUAACAGUUUGUAAACUGAGUUGUCAAAUUAAAUUAUUAAAAUCUAUUUUCAAUGGAAGGGAUCAACUUUUUACAAGAAGGGAGUGACGAUUAUUUCUCGCUUGAAAAAGAUUCCUGUUGUGAUUUUCUGCUGUUACAGUUUCAGCUGUAAAUAUGAUUUAUCUUGGUUAUUCUUACACCUUCUUGUAAAUUGCUGACAUCUUGUAACAAAUUCAGGAGUAUCUCGAGUAUUCUUUUUUAAAGCUCAAAUUUCUACUCCAUAGAUAGUAGAAGACAUAGAUUAUACUGUAGCUAACUUAUUUACAGCAUUAGUACAUGACUUUUUUAGUAUUAGAUGUUCUGUAGGGAAAUUUUGUAGAUUCAAAUCGGUUGCAAAAAUUUUGCCAACAAUUUUGCCAAAUAUUUUACAAAUUUUCCCAAUUUUUGUCUGUAAAAUUGUAAUUUCUGAUUAUGUACUUGAUUGCUAAUGUUCAUAUUUACAACAAAUUGUCAAAUUA